GCCGCGUGAAGGAUGAAGGCCUAUGGGUUGUAAACUUCUUUCCUCAGAGAAGAAUUUUGACGGUAUCUGAGGAAUAAGCAUCGGCUAACUCUGUGCCAGCAGCCGCGGUAAGACAGAGGAUGCAAGCGUUAUCCGGAAUGAUUGGGCGUAAAGCGUCUGUAGGUGGCUUAAAAAGUCUCCUGUCAAAGAUCAGGGCUUAACCCUGGGCCGGCAGGAGAAACUCUUAGGCUAGAGUUUGGUAGGGGCAGAGGGAAUUCCCGGUGGAGCGGUGAAAUGCGUAGAGAUCGGGAGGAACACCAAAGGCGAAAGCACUCUGCUGGGCCACAACUGACACUGAGAGACGAAAGCGAGGGGAGCAAAAGGGAUUAGAUACCCCUGUAGUCCUCGCCGUAAACGAUGGAUACUAGAUGUUGGAUAGGUUAAAUCAUUCAGUAUCGUAGCUAACGCGUGAAGUAUCCCGCCUGGGGAGUAUGCUCGCAAGAGUGAAACUCAAAGGAAUUGACGG
rnacentral:rRNA from 1 species